GGCUCCCUGUGGCUCAGUUGGUAGAGCAUGGUGUUUGCAACGCCAGGGUUGUGGGUUCGAUUCCCACGGGGGGCCA